rnacentral:rRNA from 2 species
UACCAGAAGUAGGUAGCUUAACCGCAAGGGGGGCGCUUACCACGGUAGGAUUCGUGACUGGGGUGAAGUCGUAACAAGGUAGCCGUAUCGGAAGGUGCGGCUGGAUCACCUCCUUUCUAG